rnacentral:rRNA from 1 species
CAAAGGGAUUACCGGUGGCGGAUGGGCAUGCGGCGCAUUAGCUAGUCGGCGGGGUAACGGCCCACCGAGGCGACGAUGCGUAGGGGUUCUGAGAGGAAGGUCCCCCACACUGGUACUGAGACACGGACCAGACUUCUACGGGAGGCAGCAGUGAGGAAUAUUGGUCAAUGGGCGCGAGCCUGAACCAGUCAAGUCGCGUGAGGGAUGACGGUCCUACGGAUUGUAAACCUCUUUUGCCGGGGAGCAAGCGUGCGUUCGUGAACGCGCGUCGAGAGUACCCGGAGAAAAAGCAUCGGCUAACUCCGUGCCAGCAGCCGCGGUAAUACGGAGGAUGCGAGCGUUAUCCGGAUUUAUUGGGUUUAAAGGGUGCGUAGGCGGGAUGCCAAGUCAGCGGUAAAAAUGCGGUGCUCAACGCCGUCGAGCCGUUGAAACUGGCGUUCUUGAGUGGGCGAGAAGUAUGCGGAAUGCGUGGUGUAGCGGUGAAAUGCAUAGAUAUCACGCAGAACUCCGAUUGCGAAGGCAGCAUACCGGCGCCCUACUGACGCUGAGGCACGAAAGCGUGGGUAUCGAACAGGAUUAGAUACCCUGGUAGUCCACGCAGUAAACGAUGAAUGCUAACUGUCCGGCUCGAAUGAGCGCUGG